UACGUAGGGUGCGAGCGUUGUCCGGAAUUAUUGGGCGUAAAGGGCUCGUAGGCGGUUUGUCGCGUCGGGAGUGAAAUCCACUGGCUUAACUGGUGGCUUGCUUCGAUACGGGCAGACUGGAGGUAUGCAGGGGAGAACGGAAUUCCUGGUGUAGCGGUGAAAUGCGCGAUAUCAGGAGGAACACCGGUGGCGAAGGCGGGUCUCUGGGCCGAUACUGACGCUGAGGAGCGAAAGCGUGGGGAGCGAACAGG
rnacentral:rRNA from 1 species